UUACAUUGAAGCCUAGCGAUAUGUAAGUUAGUGGCGGACGGGUGAGUAACGCGUGGGUAACCUGCCUUGUACAGGGGGACAACAGUUGGAAACGACUGCUAAUACCGCAUAAGCGCACGGGAUCGCAUGAUCCUGUGUGAAAAACUCCGGUGGUAUAAGAUGGACCCGCGUCCGAUUAGCUAGUUGGUGAGAUAACAGCCCACCAAGGCGACGAUCGGUAGCCGACCUGAGAGGGUGAUCGGCCACAUUGGAACUGAGAGACGGUCCAGACUCC
rnacentral:rRNA from 1 species